UACGUAGGGGGCAAGCGUUGUCCGGAUUCAUUGGGCGUAAAGAGCGUGUAGGCGGCCUGAAAGGUCGGCUGUGAAAACUCGAGGCUCAACCUCGAGACGUCGGUUGAAACCAUCUGGCUAGAGUCCGGAAGAGGAGUGUGGAAUUCCCGGUGUAGCGGUGAAAUGCGCAGAUAUCGGGAAGAACACCCGUGGCGAAGGCGGCACUCUGGGCCGAUACUGACGCUGAGGAGCGAAAGCGUGGGGAGCGAACAGG
rnacentral:rRNA from 1 species